rnacentral:tRNA from 1 species
GGCAAGAUGGCCGAGUUGGUUAUGGCGUGAGGUUAAGGUCUACCUUAGCAAAAACAGUUUCCUCAUGGAGCAAUCCGCGUGGGUUCAAGUCCCACUCUUGUCA